CAAUUAAUUAAUUAUUAAUACUUUUAUUAACUCACGAUAAAUAUAAAUAAGAUGCAGUUAAUCCAGACAUUGGUGUUUGUCUGUGGACUUGUCAGUAUGAUAAAUGCUGGACCAGUUGCAAAUCAAACACUUACAACAAGAUCAAAUAUUAGUCGUCGAGCUUUAAAUUUCUCCAAUAUGUAUAAUACAAACACUGUUGUAAUGGACUGUGAUCACGACACUGAAAUUAUAACAUUCACAUCAAUGUUUAAUUCGGGAGAUGUCAUUAUCAAUUGUAAGCGUAAUAGCCACUGCCCAGAAGUCGUCAGAUACUCGUCUAUGUACAAUUCAGGACGUAUUAUUGUCAAUUGUAAUGACAACCCAAGAAUUUGCCGCGAUCACAAAUGUUGUCCUAAUAUCGUUACUUAUAAUAAUAUGUAUAACUCAGGAGCAAUUGGAAUACAAUGUAGCUGUCAUGAUAAUCAUCAUCGUAAAUGCUGCCCUGAGACUGUUACAGAAUCAAACAUGUUUAAUUCAGGAAAAAUAUCAAUCAAUUGUUAAGACAAUGUUCAAAAAUUAACAUUAAUGAUAAUAAAAAUUUUCACUCAUUAUUUUUUAUAUUUGUUUUUAUUGCUGCUGUCAUUGUUGAUUGUUUAAACAAGUAAUUUUUAUUUAAACUUUGAUUUUCUUGAUAAAGUAUAACUUUCUUAUCAAUAUAUUGCGUAAUAUUAUCAUUGGAAAUUUGAAAAUCCCCUCUUCCUGUAUUUAUUUUAUAUUUAUAAAUAUGACACUUGUCAAUGCAUUGUCACAAUGGUAUUUAAGUCGUUUUAUAUCAUCCACUGUUGCCACAAAUAAGACACCUAAUUUGUGUAAUUUAAUAAUUUUCAUUAAACUUUUACUACUAUUAUUUAUAAAUAAUUAUUUCAUCACUACAAAAAUGCAGUUUAGUAUUCAAGUGGCUGUUAUUAUCUGUGGAUUAAUCAACUUGAUAAAUUCAACUCUCAUUGAAAACAAUACACUUGUUGCGAUCGGAGCUGAUUGUUCAGGUGAAAUUUCGUAUACCAGCAUGUACAAUAAAGACCCAUUUAUACGUAACUGUUACAAAGGUCCUAAAAUCAUUAAGUUUAACGGUAUGUUUAAUACUGCUGAUGUUAUUAUUAAUUGUAGAGGCUGUCCUCAUACAGUUAUGUAUACGUCAAUGUAUAAUUCUGGAAAUGUUAUAAUCAAUUGUAGUUGUAGACAGUGUUGUCCUAAUAUUGUUGAUGAAAAUGGCAUGUAUAACACUGGAGAAAUUAUAAUCAAUUGUUAAUAUACCGAUUGCUAAAUAAAGAAAUUUAUUUAAAAUUUAA